UACGUAGGGUGCAAGCGUUAAUCGGAAUUACUGGGCGUAAAGCGUGCGCAGGCGGUUUUGUAAGUCAGAUGUGAAAUCCCCGGGCUUAACCUGGGAACUGCGUUUGAAACUACAAGGCUAGAGUGUGGCAGAGGGGGUGGAAUUCCACGUGUAGCAGUGAAAUGCGUAGAGAUGUGGAGGAACACCGAUGGCGAAGGCAGCCCCUGGGUUAACACUGACGCUCAGGCACGAAAGCGUGGGGAGCAAACAGG
rnacentral:rRNA from 1 species